CUUAGUCCCAAGUAUCAUCAACACUGUAAUAUAUUUGUCAAUUUAUAUUUAUAGUAUGUUGUAUACAAGUUGCAAUUUUGUAUAAGUUGUACAAGUUGCAAUUUUGUAUAAGUUGUAUAAGUCUAAAUUUGAAUGUGUUUAUUUUAUGUGAAAGCUCGGGAAAUUAAGAAUUCUGUUAUAUUAUUAUUUUUGAAGAAGAAAUCAAUGAAAUGUUACUGAUCCUCUA
rnacentral:lncRNA from 1 species